UCCCUGAUGGUCCAGUGGCUAAGACUCCAAGCUCCCAAUGCAGGAGGCCUGGGUUCGAUCCCCAGUCAGGGAA